GAUCAUGGUAGGUUCAAACCUAAACCGCUAGGCUGUGGCCCUAACAAUAGAAGAACUAAACCCAUUAACCCUUCUCCAUGACC
rnacentral:tRNA from 1 species